rnacentral:lncRNA from 10 species
GGGAAUACCAGGGGUGGGCACUGUCAAGAGACCCAGCUUUGACUUCAAAUGCCACCCAGAGGGACAACUGCUCACUUUCAGAGCAGGAGCAGGAGGCCAGAGGAGAGUGUGAGUCUAACAUCUGCACAGUGAGAAGUCCAGGAGAAGCAAAAAUGAGAUCCAGGCUGGAGCGGCUGUGCCAGAGGGUCCCUAUGAUCCAGACCUCAAGAGAGGGUUCCUGGACCUCCCACAGAAAGGGAUUCAAGACCAGCUGAAACUGAUUAGAGCCAAGAUAGCCAACCAAAUGACUUCAGGAAGACCUCAGGCUUCAUUAUCAUCUCAUUUCCAUGCUAAAAAAACCCAGCUCCCUAGAACAAUGGGAAAUAUUGGGCACUUCAUCAGGCGAGUUCAGGUGCAUUUCUAGAGAUUGUCCAGGUGCUGGUAACAAUAAUAGAGAACCAUCCAUAUCCACAAGAGGCAGAACCUCUUCCAGCAAAAUGGUGCUGCCUCACCCAAAGGUCACACUGGCAUUAGCCCCUCAUCCUCUGGAGUUCAUCUCAUCCAGGCGAAGACAGCUGGCUGGCCUCAGAGGGUGAGACGCAACUCGAGGGUAAAAACAUUUUUACAGGGCAUGGACACAAAAGUGGCCUUUACCUCUGGAUAAGCUUUUAAAACUUCCCAUUUACAUGUAAAGGUGUACUUUCUAUGUGCCACCAAGAAACCUAAAGUGAGUAAAAGGUGUUUCACUUUAAUCAAGUUCCCC